rnacentral:rRNA from 1 species
UACGUAGGGUGCGAGCGUUGUCCGGAAUUACUGGGCGUAAAGAGCUCGUAGGUGGUUUGUCGCGUUGUCCGUGAAAUCCCCAGGCUUAACCUGGGAACUGCGUGUGAUACUGGAUGGCUUGAAUUCGGGAGAGGGAUGCAGAAUUCCAGGUGUAGCGGUGAAAUGCGUAGAUAUCAGGAGGAACACCGGUGGUGUAAACGGCUUUCUGGACCAUAACUGACGCUGAGGCACGAAAGCGUGGGUAGCAAACAGG